rnacentral:rRNA from 1 species
UACGUAGGUGGCAAGCGUUGUCCGGAAUUAUUGGGCGUAAAGCGCGCGCAGGCGGUCCUUUAAGUCUGAUGUGAAAGCCCACGGCUCAACCGUGGAGGGUCAUUGGAAACUGGGGGGACUUGAGUGCAGGAGAGAAGGGUGGAAUUCCACGUGUAGCGGUGAAAUGCGUAGAGAUGUGGAGGAACACCAGUGGCGAAGGCGACUCUU